rnacentral:SRP_RNA from 11 species
GUCAGGAAGGCAGCAGCGCUAGCGAUG